UAGGGAAUCUUGGACAAUGGGCGAAAGCCUGAUCCAGCCAUGCCGCGUGAGUGAUGAAGGCCUUAGGGUUGUAAAGCUCUUUCGCCAGGGAAGAUAAUGACGGUACCUGGAUAAGAAGCCCCGGCAAACUUCGUGCCAGCAGCCGCGGUAAUACGAAGGGGGCUAGCGUUGUUCGGAAUUACUGGGCGUAAAGCGCACGUAGGCGGCUUUCCAAGUUGGAGUGAAAUCCCCGGGCUUAACUCGGGAACUGCCUCCAAAAACUGGACGGCUCGAGUCCGAGAGAGGUGAGUGGAAUUUCCAGUGUAGAGGUGAAAUUCGUAGAUAUUGGAAAGAACACCAGUGGCGAAGGCGGCUCACUGGCUCGGUACUGACGCUGAGGUGCGACAGCGUGGGGAGCAAACAGGAUUAGAUACCCUGGUAGUCCACGCCGUAAACGAUGGGUGCUAGUUGUCAGGCAGCUUGCUGUUUGGUGACGCAGCUAACGCAUUAAGCACCCCGCCUGGGGAGUACGGUCGCAAGAUUAAAACUCAAAGGAAUUGACGGGGUCAU
rnacentral:rRNA from 1 species